UGGGGAAUAUUGCACAAUGGGCGAAAGCCUGAUGCAGCGACGCCGCGUGGGGGAUGAAGGCCUUCGGGUUGUAAACCCCUUUCAGUAGGGAAGAAGCGAAAGUGACGGUACCUGCAGAAGAAGCGCCGGCUAACUACGUGCCAGCAGCCGCGGUAAUACGUAGGGCGCAAGCGUUGUCCGGAAUUAUUGGGCGUAAAGAGCUCGUAGGCGGUUUGUCGCGUCUGGUGUGAAAACUCAAGGCUCAACCUUGAGCUUGCAUUGGGUACGGGCAGACUAGAGUGCGGUAGGGGUGACUGGAAUUCCUGGUGUAGCGGUGGAAUGCGCAGAUAUCAGGAGGAACACCGAUGGCGAAGGCAGGUCACUGGGCCGCAACUGACGCUGAGGAGCGAAAGCAUGGGGAGCGAACA
rnacentral:rRNA from 1 species